AUGUCCGCAUUCAACUUAAAAAAAGGCCCCCGGCCGAUCAUGCCAGCGGCCAUGUCUCAUGCCGGCACCAUGCCAGCGCCGACAUACAAUGCUGGCUUCAGAAAAUAUCACCACAGUUCAUGCUGGCGCACUCGCCAGCCGGCCGGCACACAUGCCAGCACACAAAAAAGGGUGAGACUUGAGUUCGACCACGCCAUCGCGGCUCCCGUGGUCAUGCCGGCACACCUGCCUGCAUACAAAAAAGAUGGCGCUCGCCGCCAUAGAUCACUCGUCGUCGAACUUGAGCAUGUCAGCCUGCAUCUUCUCGAACCACGGCCUCUUCCUUGGCGACACGGUGUUGAGAUCCACCUUCAUGAUCUUCACCGUGCUGGCUAG
rnacentral:rRNA from 1 species